AUUGAACGCUGGCGGCAGGCCUAACACAUGCAAGUCGAGCGAGCGGCGGACGGGUGAGUAAUGUCUGGGGAUCUGCCUGAUGGAGGGGGAUAACUACUGGAAACGGUAGCUAAUACCGCAUACCAUCAGAUGAACCCAUAUGGGAUUAGCUAGUAGGUGGGGUAAAGGCUCACCUAGGCGACGAUCUCUAGCUGGUCUGAGAGGAUGAUCAGCCACACUGGGACUGAGACACGGCCCAGACUCCUACGGGGGGCAGCAGUGGGGAAUAUUGCACAAUGGGCGCAAGCCUGAUGCAGCCAUGCCGCGUGUAUGAAGAAGGCCUUAGGGUUGUAAAGUACUUUCAGCGGGGAGGCGUUACCCGCAAAAGAAGCACCGGCUAACUCCGUGCCAGCAGCCGCGGUAAUAC
rnacentral:rRNA from 1 species